UUUAAACAUGUUUUUUAUAUUUGUACUCAAGUGAGACAUGGAUUUAUCAUUUCAUCACAUAGUUCUUGUUAGGAUGCUUACCCUCACUGACUGAUGUUCUCCAGAAACUGUGGUAAACUCUUGGAAGGACAGUGUGCUUGCGAGGCAGGUGGCAGAACCACUGAGCUAAAUCCCUGGCCCAUACAUCUCUGUUUGUGCUGGAGCCCAUCAGUAUUUCCCAGUACCCAUGUUCUCCUCUUGUUCAUGGACAUAGAGUUAUGCUACAUUCCCAGCUUCUCUGCCAUGAAAUAAUGUUCUGUGACUGAAUCCUGACCGAGCAAUGUGGACAGAGUAAUGGAAGCCACUUCCAGAUAUGGCUCCUUCUUCUCCCCCAGGCCCUUUAGGGUUAGGGCUCUCUGCAUGCCUCCCCCCCGCCUUAUUGACUUUCUAGGGAUCAUCAUUCAACAGAAAACUCAAGGCCCAGGGGCACCAUUAGCCAGAAGAAGCCUACGUCCUUGAAUUAGCUGUGGACGGUCACCUGGUAAAC
rnacentral:lncRNA from 1 species